rnacentral:tRNA from 1 species
AUAUUAAAAUAAGAAAAUUAGUUAUUAAUGAUAAAUUAGGUUUUAUUAUAUCUGAAGUUUAUAUU